rnacentral:rRNA from 1 species
AGAGUUUGAUCAUGGCUCAGAUUGAACGCUGGCGGCAGGCCUAACACAUGCAAGUCGAACGGUAACAGGAAGCAGCUUGCUGCUUUGCUGACGAGUGGCGGACGGGUGAGUAAUGUCUGGGAAACUGCCUGAUGGAGGGGGAUAACUACUGGAAACGGUGGCUAAUACCGCAUAACGUCGCAAGACCAAAGAGGGGGACCUUCGGGCCUCUUGCCAUCAGAUGUGCCCAGAUGGGAUUAGCUUGUUGGUGAGGUAACGGCUCACCAAGGCGACGAUCCCUAGCUGGUCUGAGAGGAUGACCAGCCACACUGGAACUGAGACACGGUCCAGACUCCUACGGGAGGCAGCAGUGGGGAAUAUUGCACAAUGGGCGCAAGCCUGAUGCAGCCAUGCCGCGUGUAUGAAGAAGGCCUUCGGGUUGUAAAGUACUUUCAGCGGGGAGGAAGGUGUUGUGGUUAAUAACCACAGCAAUUGACGUUACCCGCAGAAGAAGCACCGGCUAACUCCGUGCCAGCAGCCGCGGUAAUACGGAGGGUGCAAGCGUUAAUCGGAAUUACUGGGCGUAAAGCGCACGCAGGCGGUCUGUCAAGUCGGAUGUGAAAUCCCCGGGCUCAACCUGGGAACUGCAUUCGAAACUGGCAGGCUUGAGUCUUGUAGAGGGGGGUAGAAUUCCAGGUGUAGCGGUGAAAUGCGUAGAGAUCUGGAGGAAUACCGGUGGCGAAGGCGGCCCCCUGGACAAAGACUGACGCUCAGGUGCGAAAGCGUGGGGAGCAAACAGGAUUAGAUACCCUGGUAGUCCACGCCGUAAACGAUGUCUACUUGGAGGUUGUGCCCUUGAGGCGUGGCUUCCGGAGCUAACGCGUUAAGUAGACCGCCUGGGGAGUACGGCCGCAAGGUUAAAACUCAAAUGAAUUGACGGGGGCCCGCACAAGCGGUGGAGCAUGUGGUUUAAUUCGAUGCAACGCGAAGAACCUUACCUGGUCUUGACAUCCACAGAAGAAUCCAGAGAUGGAUUUGUGCCUUCGGGAACUGUGAGACAGGUGCUGCAUGGCUGUCGUCAGCUCGUGUUGUGAAAUGUUGGGUUAAGUCCCGCAACGAGCGCAACCCUUAUCCUUUGUUGCCAGCGAUUAGGUCGGGAACUCAAAGGAGACUGCCAGUGAUAAACUGGAGGAAGGUGGGGAUGACGUCAAGUCAUCAUGGCCCUUACGACCAGGGCUACACACGUGCUACAAUGGCGUAUACAAAGAGAAGCGACCUCGCGAGAGCAAGCGGACCUCAUAAAGUGCGUCGUAGUCCGGAUUGGAGUCUGCAACUCGACUCCAUGAAGUCGGAAUCGCUAGUAAUCGUGGAUCAGAAUGCCACGGUGAAUACGUUCCCGGGCCUUGUACACACCGCCCGUCACACCAUGGGAGUGGGUUGCAAAAGAAGUAGGUAGCUUAACCUUCGGGAGGGCGCUUACCACUUUGUGAUUCAUGACUGGGGUGAAGUCGUAACAAGGUAACCGUAGGGGAACCUGCGGUUGGAUCACCU